ACUCCUGCGGGAGGCAGCAGUGGGGAAUUUUGGACAAUGGGCGAAAGCCUGAUCCAGCAAUGCCGCGUGAGUGAAGAAGGCCUUCGGGUUGUAAAGCUCUUUUGUCAGGGAAGAAACGGUGAAAGCUAAUAUCUUUUGCUAAUGACGGUACCUGAAGAAUAAGCACCGGCUAACUACGUGCCAGCAGCCGCGGUAAUACGUAGGGUGCAAGCGUUAAUCGGAAUUACUGGGCGUAAAGCGUGCGCAGGCGGUUUUGUAAGUCUGAUGUGAAAUCCCCGGGCUCAACCUGGGAAUUGCAUUGGAGACUGCAAGGCUAGAAUCUGGCAGAGGGGGGUAGGAUUCCACGUGUAGCAGUGAAAUGCGUAGAUAUGUGGAGGAACACCGAUGGCGAAGGCAGCCCCCUGGGUCAAGAUUGACGCUCAUGCACGAAAGCGUGGGGAGCAAACAGGAUUAGAAACCCUAGUAGUCCCAUG
rnacentral:rRNA from 1 species